AAGACCUCGCGCUCAUGGAGCGGCCGAUGUCGGAUUAGCUAGUUGGCGGGGUAAAGGCCCACCAAGGCUACGAUCCGUAGCUGGUUUGAGAGAACGACCAGCCACACUGGGACUGAGACACGGCCCAGACUCCUACGGGAGGCAGCAGUGGGGAAUUUUGGACAAUGGGGGCAACCCUGAUCCAGCCAUGCCGCGUGAGUGAAGAAGGCCUUCGGGUUGUAAAGCUCUUUCGGCCGGAACGAAAUCGCGUACGUGAAUAACGUGCGUGGAUGACGGUACUGGAAGAAGAAGCACCGGCUAACUACGUGCCAGCAGCCGCGGUAAUACGUAGGGUGCGAGCGUUAAUCGGAAUUACUGGGCGUAAAGCGUGCGUAGGCGGUUUUGUAAGUCAGAUGUGAAAUCCCCGGGCUUAACCUGGGAACU
rnacentral:rRNA from 1 species